rnacentral:rRNA from 1 species
UACGAAGGGGGCGAGCGUUGUUCGGAAUUACUGGGCGUAAAGGGCGCGCAGGCGGCUCUGCAAGUCAGAUGUGAAAGCCCCGGGCUUAACCUGGGAAUUGCAUUUGAUACUCUGGAGCUUAAGUGUGGGAGAGGAGAGUGGAAUUCCCAGUGUAGAGGUGAAAUUCGUAGAUAUUGGGAAGAACACCGGUGGCGAAGGCGGCUCUCUGGACCGAGACUGACGCUGAGGCGCGAAAGCGUGGGGAGCAAACAGG